AGUGCGAAUGCUGACAUAAGUAACGAUAAAGCGGGUGAAAAGCCCGCUCGCCGGAAGACCAAGGGUUCCUGUCCAACGUUAAUCGGGGCAGGGUGAGUCGACCCCUAAGGCGAGGCCGAAAGGCGUAGUCGAUGGGAAACAGGUUAAUAUUCCUGUACUUGGUGUUACUGCGAAGGGGGGACGGAGAAGGCUAUGUUGGCCGGGCGACGGUUGUCCCGGUUUAAGCGUGUAGGCUGGUUUUCCAGGCAAAUCCGGAAAAUCAAGGCUGAGGCGUGAUGACGAGGCACUACGGUGCUGAAGCAACAAAUGCCCUGCUUCCAGGAAAAGCCUCUAAGCAUCAGGUAACAUCAAAUCGUACCCCAAACCGACACAGGUGGUCAGGUAGAGAAUACCAAGGCGCUUGAGAGAACUCGGGUGAAGGAACUAGGCAAAAUGGUGCCGUAACUUCGGGAGAAGGCACGCUGAUAUGUAGGUGAAGCGACUUGCUCGUGGAGCUGAAAUCAGUCGAAGAUACCAGCUGGCUGCAACUGUUUAUUAAAAACACAGCACUGUGCAAACACGAAAGUGGACGUAUACGGUGUGACGCCUGCCCGGUGCCGGAAGGUUAAUUGAUGGGGUUAGCGCAAGCGAAGCUCUUGAUCGAAGCCCCGGUAAACGGCGGCCGUAACAAUAACGGUCCUAAGGUAGCGAAAUUCCUUGUCGGGUAAGUUCCGACCUGCACGAAUGGCGUAAUGAUGGCCAGGCUGUCUCCACCCGAGACUCAGUGAAAUUGAACUCGCUGUGAAGAUGCAGUGUACCCGCGGCAAGACGGAAAGACCCCGUGAACCUUUACUAUAGCUUGACACUGAACAUUGAGCCUUGAUGUGUAGGAUAGGUGGGAGGCUUUGAAGUGUGGACGCCAGUCUGCAUGGAGCCGACCUUGAAAUACCACCCUUUAAUGUUUGAUGUUCUAACGUUGACCCGUAAUCCGGGUUGCGGACAGUGUCUGGUGGGUAGUUUGACUGGGGCGGUCUCCUCCUAAAGAGUAACGGAGGAGCACGAAGGUUGGCUAAUCCUGGUCGGACAUCAGGAGGUUAGUGCAAUGGCAUAAGCCAGCUUGACUGCGAGCGUGACGGCGCGAGCAGGUGCGAAAGCAGGU
rnacentral:rRNA from 1 species